UACGUAGGUGGCAAGCGUUGUCCGGAUUUACUGGGCGUAAAGAGCGCGCAGGCGGUCGUUCAAGUCGCGUGUGAAAGCCCCCGGCUCAACUGGGGAGGGUCACGCGAUACUGAUCGACUCGAAGGCAGGAGAGGGAAGUGGAAUUCCCGGUGUAGUGGUGAAAUGCGUAGAUAUCGGGAGGAACACCAGUGGCGAAGGCGGCGAUCUGGGAAAAUACUGACGCUGAGGUGGCGAAAGCGUGGGGAGCAAACAGGG
rnacentral:rRNA from 1 species